GUGGUGCAAUUAUAAGAUGCCACCUGUAACAGUAGUAUUUAUCCUCUGCUAUCUACCGACUCUUUACAUAUAUAUAAGUAGCUCCGGCCUUUCUCUUGGUUCCAUUUCCCUCCAAACUCGUUCAAAUCAAAAGCUUCCUAUACCAGAAAGCCUCUUCAUUUUCAUCUCCUCUUUCGCCAAUGUCGAAUUUCUUAGCGGCGGCUACGCUUGCAAAUCCAAAUCCAAUAAAGUCUUUCAAAGGUUUAAUGCUCGGCUUGGAAAGAUGAUGGAAUGACUGUGUUUUCUGAAGGAUGUGAUAAGCAAGUGAAAAUAUGGCCUUUAAUGUCUUGUGGCCAGCCAAUGGCUGCGGCUGUGCAUGAUGCACCUAUCAAAGAGAUGGCUUGGGACCCUGAAAUUAGUUUGUUAGUCACAGGAAGCUGGGUCAAGACAUUGAAGUGAGUCAAACAUUGCAUAUCUGUAUGAAUUAAUAGUUUAAAUGCUUCUGAAAGUUUUCCACUUGUUGAUUAGUUUUAUUUGGUUGGUACGAAAAAGAAGGGGUAAGGAAGGCAUUUUCUUUUUACAUGAAUUUCCUACUUAUGGUGAAGCAUCCUCUCACGAAGGUUGUUGGCACAUUAGAUAGAAAUUUGAAAAAUCUUCAACUUAUCGCAUCUGCAUAGCACAAGAGGUGUUUGCAGCCGUCCCAGAUCUGCAAGGCUUCUUGGUCUGCAUCAAAACCUAUUUAUCAUAAUGGCCAUAUGCAGGUGUAGUCAGCCUAGGCCGUGCAGCACUCUCAAUUAUGGUGGUUUCCCUAAUACAACGGCAAAGGCAUACAUUUUUUUUUCAUCCAUCUCCCAGAGGUAUAUAUUUACUAGGUCUCCUCUGUUCUUAAUGCCAUUAGUAUUUAAGCUUGGCGUGUGUUUCCCUGCUAUUUAAACCGAUUCUUUUAUGCUUCUGAAUCAAUCAAAUAUUGGAUCCUCACAAGCAGAGAUGUUAACAUUGAUCUGUAUAUCCCUGUACAGAUAUCGUGUUAAAUAGAUACAUCAGACUUUUUAUAGACCCUAUUGUAGAUAUUGAAUUUUGUCCCAGUAAAUAAUAUUAAGAAAUGAUGGGAGAAAAAAAAAGUUACGUGGUGAAUGGAUUUUUACUGUUUUUAUUCAUGUAAACAGUCUUUACUAACGUUUUCAGUACACAAAAACAUGGGGGGGUUUGUACUUUGUUUUUUUGCUACCACACCUAAUAAUGUUUUCUUGACUCUUCAGUUGGCAAGGCAACCCUAUAAAAGUUACAAAGCCAAGAGUAAACAACUCCGUACAAGUAAAUAUAGAUUACAACAGGAUCAAUGGGGGGAGGGGGCGAAAAAAGGAAAAAAAGGAACUAUAUGCACAAAUGUGAACAAUGAGGAGUCCAAAACAACAGAACAAAGUGUUGGAGAAGACCCUUUGUAAUUGCAUUUUUGCAGCGAGUGGGUCAUCUAGGACCAGAUAAUUCAUCUGGAGGGAUGUGUGAUGUUGAGUCGGCAAUAAUCCAAUUAGCAUUGGGUUGGUGGUGGCUGUAGUGGUGGGCUUGGUUGAACUCUUGACGAACCAUUUCCU